rnacentral:rRNA from 1 species
UACGUAGGUCCCGAACGUUGCGCGAGUUUACUGGGCGUAAAGGGUCCGUCGGCGGUUUAGCAAGUGGUUGGUGAAAUUUCACGGCUCAACCGUGAAACUGCCUUCCAAACUGCUAAACUUGAGGCAGGGAGAGGUCGGCGGAAUUCCCGGUGUAGCGGUGAAAUGCGUAGAUAACGGGAGGAACACCAGUGGCGAAGGCUGCCGACUGGAACUGUCCUGACGCUGAGGGACGAAAGCUAGGGGAGCAAACCGG